UUAUUGCAACUUGAAUUCAACAAGGUAAAGCUAGAACAGUAUCAGGCGGCAGGUAAACAAAGGUUGCCUGAAACUACAGUAGGAGAGUAUUUCAAAUGACAAGGGAACAGUCCAAUAGAAAAUGAGUAAAUCUUGAAGAAAACACGGAAUGGCUUUCUUUGGCCAAUAGUGGAGUACGUGGGUGGAACAUUAGCGCUGGGGUUCGUAUGGUUCUUUUCCUGUCUCCUAGCAACAAACGUGCAAACCGGCGCUUGUUUGCGCACGCGCUCACACAUAACUGGAACAGCGUGUGAGCUGCCGCACACGAACAGCAAGUUGUUAGGAAACAUUUCGUAGUGUCGUGCAAUUAGUUGUGAUUUGCAAAUUCAUAUCAUCUUCCAUUGAAUGGUGAAGCCCGCCGUUUUGACGACUUUGCAUGAAACAACAGGAGCUGUCCCUGUCACCUAUGCCACACAACUGAGUAAGAACUGCGUCGGCACCGGAGUCGAAGUCUCCAUGUGGAGAGACUGCAGUGGCAACGGAAGGAGAGCAUCAAUGGCUGUGAACAUCUUUGCUGAUUGCAUUGCGCUGGUCAUAGUGGUCCUCACAAGCUCUGUGCUCAGCAAGCUGCAGGCCUUGGACUGGUUCUGGGGCUGUGCAUAUCGUCUAUACACCACACAAUGAAAGACAUUAAUCUGCUCCCCGGUGCUGGAACAACUGACUUUCUUUGCGUCCAUCACAUUCAAAAGCACAUUGAAGAUAAUGGUGAGUAAACAACAGGAAAAGAUGGAGCCUCUGUCCCACAAGAUUAACAAGGAAGAGCAGGAAACUCAUACAGGUCUGAUGUGCUUGAACUCAUGGUGCUUGGACGACAAUCAAUUAGCAGCUGAAAGAUUUGAAUGGAGGAUUAUCUCUAGAUGCUAAUUUCUCAAGACUGCUGUUGAGAGAUUACGCCGAGGAUGGUUUAAUGUCCCAAGAUAUGAAGAACAGUGCUGGGAAAGUCUAUGCCAAUGUGACGUUGAAGUUGGAAGCAGGGAGGAAAGCCCUGGAUUUUGUAUUUCUUGUGUUGCAGACAGACAGAGAUUAUUACUGGUAUAGAUCCCAAAUAAGUGGAAGGGCAAUCAAAUGUUAUGGCGCUAUGAUAGUUUUUAAUUAAACAGCUUUGUGUACUAUAAUUUCUUAUAUAUUGAAAACAGUGUGAAAUGCAUAUAUAAUAUGUUUUAUACUUUGAAUCCAAAUAUACUGAAAUGAAGUUAUUAGAGCUUGUUAGCUGGCCUGGCAGAAUUUUACCACAUGGUGGAGACAAAGGAUAUGAACAUUGCACUCUGUCACUUCAUGGUUUCUUUGUGUGUUGAGCUCAGUAAAUGUUUUCAUGAUUAUCCCCAUCCUAGAAUUACAUGUUGAUCGUCUCACAUCACACCUCAUGCACAUUUUAUAUGAUACAUUCCACCCAGAUCCAAAGUUACAGAACAAGCAUAGAAUGUGUGACAUCAUUUGAUCAACCUCAUUACUGACUACAAAGUGAGCAUUAUAGGCUAUUGAGGUGAUGCUCGCGGUAUUCAACAUGGAAGAUUAAACACAGAGUCCAGUGUCGACCCUUUAACAUCUUGCCACCAAUGACAUGUAACAGGCUCCUUCAAAGAUGAGCUCAUCUUCUAAAACCCAAUGAAUAAUGUACUGUUGAAGUGUCACUGAAAAAGGAAAAUGUAUUUUAUGUUGUUGUCAGUGUUUACCUGACUCUCGAUUUGCUUCCUAUGUGUCUCAACUUUGAACACUGCCUAAAUCCCAGCCAACAGGGCAUGGUUUCAUGACUUGCUUGGUCCUGUUUGUCAUAACAUAGCAAGAGUUUGCAGAAAAGGAAAUUUCAUAGACAAAGUAAAUGUCUCAGGUCUGACUAAUCUAAAACCCUGCUAAAAAGGUUAAAGAAAUAUCAACAUUUCUCACUAGGUCCCAGAAGCUGUCUUGAUUUUAUUUAACAGUGAACUUAAUUAUGAACUAGAACUUACCAUUUUUAUUUCCAUUGGUCAUAUUCUAACAGACUGUGAUGGCUGUAUUUUGGAAUCCAAGCUAUUUUAACUGUAGCGUCACUCAGUGGUUGUGUUUAUGUGAAUUGGUUGGGGUGUGAUGAUGACCAAUGAAAACAUGACAACUGAGAAGGAAAUGGGUAAGACCAAACUAGGGACACAUUUGGAAGGUCGAACUAGACACUUUUUAAAAAUUCUUGUCUGCUCACAACCCAACCUAUGUUUGAGGAGUGUCUGGAGGAAUCCAAGGCCUAAUACUUCGUCAUGGCAAACAGAGUUAGACAGUGUACCUGGAAUUAGAUGAAAGCAUUUGUAUCUGAAGUACUGUGUGAAAAUUAUGUCCAUGGCACACAAAGCCCACACAAGACCUACUGUUUCAACUCCGUAUGAUUCUAAAAUUAUCAUCAGUCCGUGUGAGGAUAGUCAAGUGAACAGGAAGUAUUAUUUUGUGCUGAGUCAUUGUUGUCUGGCUGUGGUUACAUUUUUCAUUGAUAUGCAUGCAUCCAAUUACCGUGAUAUUAUCAACCAUAAUCUGAGUUUUAGAUGUGUGAAGCUCUGUUCUUUCUAGUCUGUGUCCAGUGGUUACUUUGAAAACAGACAUUAAUGGCUUUGACUCAGAUUAAAAUUGAUUAGACAAAAUGUCUAAAUGGCAUACUUCAUAGAAACAGCUUUUAUGCAAUUCACGACUUAACGCAGAGUUUCUGUUUGAAGGGGCCAUUCAAAUAGUCAAUUUACUUUUGUUAAAUUAGACAAGCCCAUUGUAAUUUACUCUGUUGUACUUUCUGCUGCAUUUUUGUUGUUGUUCUUCAAUAACAUAGCACAGAAUCACUGAUUCUGCUCAAAAGUUCUUCCAAGCUGUGGGGCUAAGCUGAAGCCUCUACUGGUCUCAGGUUGCACCAGCCCAGGGUCUUUUAUGACGCAGGUCUGUCAGUAAGCCCAGUCUUUUCUCUGCUAGUGCUGUGCAGGGUUGGCUGGUUCAGUUACAACGUCAAAGUGGGCUUGUGCAAGUGUCGGUGUGUCUGUACUCGCAUUGGAGGGAGCAUGUUAUCUGAGGCCCACAGGGGAAGCCUCUCCAGAUUUCAGCCAGCUGCCCUGCUAUAAACUUUUCAGAGUGGAGGAAGAAGACUAUGGAGGGGGGAACACGCAAAUCUCCAUUCAAACUACUUUCGAAUAUCAACUCUUAGGCUUUCUUAAAGGAACGAGAAGAGGCCAGAGAGGGGUGGACCUUGCCCUCGAGGAUAACAAGCACCUUUCCAAGUGUUGUUCACGCUUAAUUUCCUCUCGGCUUGAGAGUAGGCGGCAUGUUGCACCAGAGGGGGGGUUCUCAAACAAACUAUCUGACCCUGGUGGUUAACUGAAAUCAGGCUCUGUGAGGCUUGCUGGAGGAGGGAGGGAACAGCAGUUAGCGUGAGGCCACCGUAGGGCUGCUGCACUGCUAACACACAGCAGC
ensembl:lncRNA